AUAUCAUCAUGCAGAAUCGUAGUAUUUCUUUCCCACUAAAAAUGUGCAGCAAAAUAAAUUAUUUUCUUCAAAUAUAAUGUUUCAGCAAGUUUAAAUUUCUCAGUAUUUCAGGUUGGCUGACAACUCCAGAAUGCUCCCAACUCUAGAAGAGAUCAAUUUUGACAUCCUAUGAAAAUGUUGCCCAUAAAGGUGAUGUCAGAGUAUAUCUAGAGCUAUCUUGCUGGAUCUGUGUGGUGGGUGAAUGCUUCAUUUCAUUCUGUGGCACAGUUUAGAUUCUCUAAAUUUUCACCUAUCCAAACUUCAAGUUGAAUUAUUGUCUUUUCCAAAUAAUAAAAUCUGUUACGUACUUUUGAACCUACUAAUGUGUUCCUAUGCAGAACAGUGGUUGAUUAAUCUUUUGCUGAAAAAAAGCAACUCAAAAGUAGUAACCAAAAUUAUUGUUUGAUUUUAUUUUGCUGAAAUGAGUUAGACAACAAUCUUUCUUGAACUGGAGAGAAUUUUAUUUUAUUUUUUAAAUAAGAUUGUGUUUUAGAAUUCUUCAUUCUUCCUUUCUUCACAUAAACUUACUGACAUCAAUUUCAAAAAUAUUGUUCUCUUAACUAUUAUAUGAUUUUCCAUUGUGUGGGUUAUGUUUUUGUUGUUAUUGUUUGUUUUAAGUAGCUUUGAAUUUACGUAGCUGAUGCAGUUCUCACAUUCCUUUCAGGGUUAUUAUCAUCAUACCUCUCUCUGUUCAAUAUUAUCAACACCACCCCACUUAUCAAAAUCCCAUUUGAAUCAAAGGCAACUUGCUUCUUGUUGGUGGAAGCUUUCAGGCUUUCCCCCUUGGGAACAUGGGUCUUCCUCGCUGGGCAGCCCCAAAGACCUCUGUGAUGUCGCCAAGCAGCGACUGUGACUGCCCGUGACCUCAGUGCUUUUCAGCAGCUGUAGGCUCUGUCCCCGUGCCUUUUGUCCAGGAGCUCCUGCGGGUGCACACGCGAGGCGUGACAGCUCCUGCAGGACCGUGGCUUGUGCUU
rnacentral:lncRNA from 1 species